CCUACGGGUGGCAGCAGUGAGGAAUAUUUGUCAAUGGACGAGAGUCUGCACCAGCCAAGUAGCGUGAAGGAUUAAUGCCCUAUGGGUUGUAAACUUCUUUUAUAUGGGAAUAAAAUGUUCCACGUGUGGGAUUUUUUAUGUACCCUAUUAAUCAGGAUCGGCUAACUCCGUGCCAGCAGCCGCGGUAAUACGGAGGAUCCGCGAGUGAUCCUGAUUGAUUGGGUUUAAAUGGAGCGUAGGUGGAUUGUUAAGUCAGUUGUGAAAGUUUGCGGCUCAACCGUAAAAUUGCAGUUGAAACUGGCAGUCUGGAGUACAGUAGAGGUGGGCGGAAUUCGGGGUGUAGCGGUGAAAUGCUUAGAUAUCACGAAGAACUCCGAUUGCGAAGGCAGCUCACUGGACUGCAACUGACACUGAGGCUCGAAAGUGUGGGUAUCAAACAGGAUUAGAUACCCGAGUAGUC
rnacentral:rRNA from 1 species